UGCGCAGGCGGAACUUUAAGUCAGUGGUGAAAUCUUGCCGCUUAACGGUAAAAUUGCCAUUGAUACUGAAGUUCUUGAAUAUGGUUGAGGUAGGCGGAAUGUGUUGUGUAGCGGUGAAAUGCAUAGAUAUGACACAGAACUCCGAUUGCGAAGGCAGCUUACUAAACCAUUAUUGACGCUGAGGCACAAAAGCGUGGGGAGCGAACAGGAUUAGAUACCCUGGUAGUCC
rnacentral:rRNA from 1 species